UGGGGAAUCUUGGACAAUGGGCGCAAGCCUGAUCCAGCCAUGCCGCGUGGAGGAUGAAGGUCUUCGGAUUGUAAACUCCUGUCGACCGGGACGAAUGCACCCGACCUAAUACGUCGAAGUGUUGACGGUACCGGUGGAGGAAGCCACGGCUAACUCUGUGCCAGCAGCCGCGGUAAUACGGAGGGCGCAAGCGUUGUUCGGAAUUACUGGGCGUAAAGCGCGGGCAGGCGGUCUGUUAAGUCGUUUGUGAAAAUCCGGGGCUCAACCCCGGAAAUGCAUACGAUACUGGCAGGCUGGAGACUGGUAGAGGCUAGCGGAAUUCCUGGUGUAGCGGUGGAAUGCGUAGAUAUCAGGAAGAACACCUGUGGCGAAGGCGGCUAGCUGGGCCAGUUCUGACGCUCAUCCGCGAAAGCGUGGGGAGCAAACAGGAUUAGAUACCCCUGUAGUCCCUGAGCGGGCUGGCAAGGCGCAU
rnacentral:rRNA from 1 species